ACGUUGGAUCAUUCGUUUCGCAAUCGAAGAAGAGGGCAGCAAAUCGUCACAUUCGCAAUUUUAUCGCAGUUAUUUAAAUAG
rnacentral:rRNA from 1 species